rnacentral:rRNA from 1 species
GUCAAGAAAAGCCUCUAGGAAGAGAAGUACUGCCCGUACCGCAAACCGACACAGGUAGAUGAGGAGAGAAUCCUAAGGUGAGCGAGAGAACUCUCGUUAAGGAACUCGGCAAAAUGACCCCGUAACUGCGGGAGAAGGGGUGCUCUAUUAGGGUGCAAGCCCGAGAGAGCCGCAGUGAAUAGGCCCAGGCGACUGUUUAGCAAAAACACAGGUCUCUGCAAAACCGUAAGGUGACGUAUAGGGGCUGACGCCUGC